AGCACUCCAUGGAACUUUUCCAUCUGCAGCAGUCGGAGGAUUUGCCUGAGAACAUACGCGGCAUGAAGACACUCUCAGCCCUCAAGGGCACCCAGUCAGCGCUGUUUAAGGACGGUUUUUCUGUUCACAGCAUACUUCAUGAUUACAGCUUCACUCCAUUGGAUACAACUAUUUACUGAGCAUCUCCUGACACCAGAGAGGACGCAACAAAAAUCACAACUCCUAGAACUGCACAGUCUAAAUGGCAACCACUAGCCCCUGUGACAACUGAUCACUUGAAAAAGGCUUCAUUCAAAUCAAAUUGGAAGAGAAGUCCAGAUUACCCAACUACAAUUACCUGAGCAAAAAUCCCCUCAAUUAUCUUGGUAAUCCAGAUAAAUUCGGAGUACAAAGAUUCUUUAGACGACAGCCAUCAAGCAGCAAAUACCUCGCAGGAGGCCAUUGUGUUUCUAUUUGAACUUCUAUGGAUGUCAAGCUCUGUUCUUCAAAAUUUAGCCCUACAGAUGGGUGGCCCACCGGAGAGAAUUAAUCUCACUAUGCAGCCAACACUACCCUUUCUGGAUCUUUCCCCAGUAGUGUGGAUUCUGCUCUAGUCCAGAAUUAUGCAGAAUAAGUAUACUUCAUCUUAGACACCAUAAUUCUUCAAAUAUCUAAAAUGUAUAUUAUGCUCUCCAAAUCCUGGUCAUCUCCAGGUUAAGUAUCUCUCAAAAACAGUCCAUCAGAUAAUAUGAUUUUAAAUCUUUAUCCCCUUGGUCAUAUACCCACAAUCUCAUUCUAUUUACCAAUAUCCCUACUGAUGCAUAAACUACAUAUGUAUAUGUGUGUUUUUUUUUAAAAAAAAAGCAAUUCCACUGUAAUUUUAGCAGAGGUUAUUUCCACAUAGAGCUAUGUAUAUGUGUAUAUACACAUAUCUUUAUAUUAUAUAGUUUUCUGUGCUUUCCCAGUUAUCUACAAUGGGCAUAUAUGACUUUUAUAGCCAGGUAAUUCAAUAUUCAUUCAUUCAGUGAACAUCAUUGAGCAUCCACUAUGGGCUGGGAAGUGAGGAUGGAGCCACAAACAAGCAAAAUA